rnacentral:tRNA from 1 species
GGCCCGUUGGUGAAACGGUUAACACAUUACCCUCUCAAGGUAACAUUCAUGGGUUCAAAUCCCAUACGGGUCACCA